GCAGUCGGGCGUUUCGUCGCUCACCGACCUAUGAGCGGUGUGAGGAAAGUCCGGGCAACAUAGAGCACCAUACUUCUUAACGGGAAGCUGUCGGCGACGGCAGAGUAGUGUGACAGAAAAUAACCGCUUCGCCCCUUCCCUCGCGGAAGAGCGAAGUAAGGGUGAAAAGGUGGGGUAAGAGCCCACCGGAAUCCAUAGCGAUAUGGAUUGCCGCAUGCCUUAUGGGUUGCAAGGCCAAGUAUACCGGCA
rnacentral:RNase_P_RNA from 1 species